rnacentral:piRNA from 1 species
UAUGAGGUGGCCAACUAAGG